GUCAGUUGGCCCCUUACUUGAGUAGAUAUAUAUUGGAGAGUUUUGAAAGUAGUUAAUUUUCAUUGCACUAUUUCUUCUUCUUCUUCUUCUAUUUAUCGGUGCUACUAUUUUGCUCUAUAUUAACUGUAAUCAGUUUAUGUUCAGUUUUAAAAAAUUGUCAAGAAGCGUCAACUAUGUUCAGUUUCUUCGGAGUAUAAGAUCACCUUAUUGCAAGAAAGCUGCUCUGUUUUGUUUAGAAGAAGAGUAGAAUUGCACAAGUUACAUCCUGAAGAAUUGCACAAGUUACAUCCUGAAGCAUAAUGGUAGAAUUUACACAAGUUUGUCACGCUCCUUUGGCGGAAACUAACACACUGCUUUUGUGACGCAACAGUAGCAGUGGAGAUUUGCGUUUUUGGCAAAGAGGAGGGAAGGAACUAACAUGAUGGCUUAGAUCAGUUACUGAUGAACUAACAUGAUGUGGCCAAAUAUACACGAGUCUAAACAAGACAUGGGUCUGCUUUCCUCUUAAGCAGAUAUGAUCAUCAAGCUGUUUCCAGCGACAGCAGUGGAGCCUGGGGAGAGGAGAUGAACCUGUGCCUGGGGUGAGGACAACCUGGGAUGAGGAGAGCUUGGGCAGCAGCCGAGCCCAGCUCCAACUCACCUCAACCUGGGCGGACUUGGAGAGGAGGAGUCCCUGGAGAUGGAGUGGAGUCCCUGGGCGUGGAGAGGAGGAGCGCCUGGGCGCCUGCGUUGGUCUGGAUGGAGGUGGAGCUGUGGCGCCUAGAGCUCUGGGGUGGAGCGCUGGCGA